GAUGAACGCUGGCGGCGUGCCUAAUACAUGCAAGUCGAGCGAACAGACGAGGAGCUUGCUCCUCUGACGUUAGCGGCGGACGGGUGAGUAACACGUGGAUAACCUACCUAUAAGACUGGGAUAACUUCGGGAAACCGGAUCUAAUACCGUAUAAUAUAUUGAACCGCAUGGUUCAAUAGUGAAAGACGGUUUUGCUGUCACUUAUAGAUGGAUCCGCGCCGCAUUAGCUAGUUGGUAAGGUAACGGCUUACCACGGCAACGAUGCGUAGCCGACCUGAGAGGGUGAUAGGCGACACUGGAACUGGGACACGGUCCAGACUCCUACGGGAGGCAGCAGUAUGGAAUGGUACGCAAUGGGCGAAAGCCUGGCAGAGCGACGCGGCGUGAGAGAUGAAAGUCUUCGGAUCGGAAAACCCUGUUAUUAGGGAAAAACAAAUUUGUAAGUAACUAUGCACGUCUUGACGGUACCUAAUCAGAAAGCCACGGCUAACUACGUG
rnacentral:rRNA from 1 species